UACGUAGGGUGCAAGCGUUAAUCGGAAUUACUGGGCGUAAAGCGUGCGCAGGCGGCUUUGCAAGACAGAUGUGAAAUCCCCGGGCUCAACCUGGGGACGCCACCCGAUACUGCUGUGGCUAGAGUCCAGUAGGGGAGUGUGGAAUUCCCGGUGUAGCGGUGAAAUGCGCAGAUAUCGGGAGGAACACCAGCGGCGAAGGCGGCACUCUGGGCUGGUACUGACGCUGAGGAGCGAAAGCGUGGGUAGCAAACAGG
rnacentral:rRNA from 1 species